rnacentral:lncRNA from 1 species
AACUCUGACUUGGUUAAUAUUAAUUAUGUAUUUGCACCUGCAAUUGGAUAUACGCUUAGUUUCCCAGUUGGUGUGACAUCUUCGCUUAGUUGAUGGAACUGUAUGGUGUAAAUCAGAUUUGAUAUUAACAACGCAUUCGCUUAGUUCGCGUUUAUGAAGACAGAAUUAACCGUCGCUUAGUUGGUUAACUUUAUUGGAUUAGAGGUCUGAGUAUCAACUUUAUUUAGAUAAUCUGUGAUGGGAAACAUUGUAAUUAAGUUAAUGACCAACCGUUUUCAUUCUGUGUUGAAACCGUUUUCUUUAGAUCUGUGUUUACAUCUUUAUUUGCAUCUGUGUUUUCAAUUUGAUUCAUCCGCAUUCCAAAAUCCUUUCACAAACCCCCCUUUUCGUGUUUGACUUGAUUCUUGAACCGCAAAGUUGGUCUUUGCGAGACGACGUAGGGGUCAUUCCCUAGCUAUACUGCAUUCUUUAAGCACAUUAAAUUUGCAUGGGGUGCGACACCCAUCAAAUUUUGGCACCGUUGUCGGGGACCAACGGUUCGGUUUUGGGUCUUUUGUUGUGUUAGUGUGUGUAAUGUUUUGUCUUGUGUCGUGAGUGUGAUGUUCUAUUUUGUGUGUUUGUUAUUGUGUGUUGCAUUUAGGUAGCUUUAGUUGCAUAUUUUCAUUGCAUUCUUCUUUCCCCCCCU